rfam:Xanthomonas albilineans GPE PC73 complete genome
AUCUGCAAACUACAUACUGCGGUUCCUGCGCGCUGUCCGCGCCUACCCGACAGCAACUCGCGACGUUUUGUUGGCC